GGCCUGGUGGUGUGGCGGUAGCAUCUCUCUCUUCAUUAACUCCUGUGAUAAAAGUAUUGGGAUGUCCCUUGUUCGAAUCAAGGUCAGGUCA